GUAAGGAUGGUAAGCUUGUAUUUUAUUACAAAACAGAGCAGGUGAAUACAGUCGGUCAGUAAACAAACACAGCAACAUGACUCUGAAACAUACCAGACGGGUGGAGUAAGGAUGGUCAGCUUGUAUUUUAUUACAAAACAGAGCAGUUAUUUGGGAGAGUAAGGAGAGCGUGUAAACAUACAUUAUUCAUACAAAGACAAAGAAUAGCAAGAGAUAAUAUACAGCUUCAACACAAAUAUAGGAAACGUGGGUAAUUGAUAUAUAGGAAUAUACGUAGGAAAUAGCAACAGAAUCCUCCAUGUUGCUUUCAUUGCAGCCUCAUGGUUUUAAAUGUGGGUAAUUGAUAUAUAGGAAUAUACGUAGGAAAUAACAGAAUCCUCCAUGUUGCUUUCAUUGCAGCCUCAUGGUUUUAAACGUGGGUAAUUGUGAAUACUUGACUGUUAGUGCUAAAGGAGAGAGAACUGUGAAUAUAGUCUCGUCAACCAGGCUACUAUGACUAUACUGUAACAAAUAAAUUCUGUUAGCAUUUUCUUUUCUAGGAGAUAAAAUGUUGAAACAAUUACACUAUUUAUGGCUCGACUGAAAUCAGAGAGAGAGCCUUUAAUAACAGAUAGAAAAAGUACAAUGAUUCAAAUCAACAAA